rnacentral:rRNA from 1 species
GACAGAGGGGGCAAGCGUUGCUCGGAAUCACUGGGCGUAAAGGGUGCGUAGGCGGGCAGGUAAGUCCGUGGUGAAAUCUCUGAGCUUAACUCAGAAACUGCCAUGGAUACUAUUUGUCUUGAAUGUUGUGGAGGUAAGCGGAAUAUGUCGUGUAGCGGUGAAAUGCUUAGAUAUGACAUAGAACACCAAUUGCGAAGGCAGCUUACUACACAAAUAUUGACGCUGAGGCACGAAAGCGUGGGGAUCAAACAGG